GUUCGUAGAUUGCAUGUAUGUAAUUUCCUGAUUCAGGGUCAACAACAUGGCGCUGUCCAUGGACUAUGUCAUCAAAUGGUUUGAGUGAUAUUUUCCUACGAGUGCCAUCUAUUUCUAUGAUACUUAGUUAAUAUUGUACAAGAGCUUAUGCAGAGGCAUUAGAUCGUUAUUCAAUUGAUUGUAUUCGUAGUUUUUUUUCCAUCGUCAAAGACUAUUGAUCAAGUGUCCACCUAUUGAUCAAACGUGUGGACUCGCAGUCGAGAGAGGAUGAGAUGGUUUCCAGAGCUGUUUGCCCAGUGUACUGGUGGGGCUGCAGUUUAUGGGAAGUGUGUGACUGCUUCCACCACAGGCAGACAGGAGCUGAGAAAGGACCUGUGUGUUAGUUUGAUGCUCUGAAGGCGUGCUUUGUUACAGCAGCCAAGAAGGGAGUGAAGUAGUGUCCAUUCUGCCCAACAUAACCAGGCAAUGGACCCAAUGUCCCCCCCAUGUUGUUAUCUUCAACAUAACCAGGCAAUGGACCCAAUGCCCCCCCCCCUCCAUACCCAGGCAAUGGACCCAAUGUCCCCCCCAUGUUGUAUCUUAAACAUAAUCAGGCAAUGGACCCAAUAUGUUGCAUCUUCAACAUAACCAGGCAAUGGACCCAAUGUCCCCCCAUGUUGCAUCUUCAACAUAACCAGGCAAUGGAUCCAAUGUCCCUCCAUGUUCCAUGAACAUCAUGUAGUACUGUAUCAGUAAUGUGCUGGAAGACUUCUUGUCUAGUCUCACCUGUUUAAAAUUGGCUCCAGGGGUAAUGCCAAGACAGCGUUUGGACAACACUCUUUUCAAUAAUGCUUCAAUGUCAUACUGUGUGACUAUGUACUAACAUGUAGCCCACUACCGGAGACUUGUAGGACUGUGUCUUUAUAAUAUGUCCUUUAUGGCUCAGUUGGUAGAGCAUGGCGCUUGCAAUGGCAGGAUUGUGGAUUUGUGUCCUGGGGUCACUGAUACGUAAAAUGUGUGCACAGCACGGAUGACUAAGUUGAUUUGGAUAAAAGCGUCUGCUAAAUGGAAUAUUGUUAUGUAAA